rnacentral:misc_RNA from 1 species
AAAACAUUUCACCACUUACGCACAGUGUGACAAGGAUACACUGGACAAGUUGCUAAACAUGAGUGUCCAAGCUAACAUUAAUCUUAUACCGAAACACACUAAUGAUACAGAGUCACUUGAACAGUUCUGCAAAGACACAGUGACUACAAUAUGGCACUACCAUGGCGGUUGCCAAGUAGGCAAGGUGGUAACCCCUGAUUACAGGGUUAUGAAUGUCAACAGGCUCCGGGUCAUUGAUGGUUCUACAUUCAACGA